GAGUUUGAUCCUGGCUCAGAACGAACGCUGGCGGCAUGCCUAAUACAUGCAAGUCGUACGAACUCUUCGGAGUUAGUGGCGCACGGGUGCGUAACGCGUGGGAAUCUGCCCCUUGGUUCGGAAUAACAGUUGGAAACGACUGCUAAUACCGGAUGAUGACGAAAGUCCAAAGAUUUAUCGCCAAGGGAUGAGCCCGCGUAGGAUUAGCUAGUUGGUGAGGUAAAGGCUCACCAAGGCAACGAUCCUUAGCUGGUCUGAGAGGAUGAUCAGCCACACUGGGACUGAGACACGGCCCAGACUCCUACGGGAGGCAGCAGUAGGGAAUAUUGGACAAUGGGCGAAAGCCUGAUCCAGCAAUGCCGCGUGAGUGAUGAAGGCCUUAGGGUUGUAAAGCUCUUUUACCCGAGAUGAUAAUGACAGUAUCGGGAGAAUAAGCCCCGGCUAACUCCGUGCCAGCAGCCGCGGUAAUACGGAGGGGGCUAGCGUUGUUCGGAAUUACUGGGCGUAAAGCGCACGUAGGCGGUUAUUCAAGUCAGAGGUGAAAGCCCAGUGCUCAACACUGGAACUGCCUUUGAAACUAGAUAGCUUGAAUCCAGGAGAGGUGAGUGGAAUUCCGAGUGUAGAGGUGAAAUUCGUAGAUAUUCGGAAGAACACCAGUGGCGAAGGCGGCUCACUGGACUGGUAUUGACGCUGAGGUGCGAAAGUGUGGGGAGCAAACAGGAUUAGAUACCCUGGUAGUCCACGCCGUAAACGAUGAUAACUA
rnacentral:rRNA from 1 species